AGAGUUUGAUCCUGGCUCAGGAUUAACGCUGGCGGCGUGCCUAACACAUGCAAGUCGAACGGACUUUUAUCUUUGAGAGCUCCUUUAUGGGCGUUCUCAUAAAUAUUAGUUAGUGGCGAACGGGUGAGUAACACGUUGGUACCUGCCCUCUAGUGGGGAAUAAUUCGCCGAAAGGCGGACUAAUACCGCAUGUGAUCUACGGAUCAAAGCAGCAAUGCGCUAGAGGAGGGGCCUGCGGCUGAUUAGCUUGUUGGUAGGGUAAUGGCCUACCAAGGCGACGAUCAGUAGCUGGAUCGAGAGGUUGACCAGCCACACUGGGACUGAGAUACGGCCCAGACUCCUACGGGAGGCAGCAGUGAGGAAUUUUCCACAAUGGACGAAAGUCUGAUGGAGCAACGCCGCGUGCAGGAUGACGGCCUUAGGGUUG
rnacentral:rRNA from 1 species